AUUGAACGCUGGCGGCAGGCCUAACACAUGCAAGUCGAACGAGUGGCGGACGGGUGAGUAAUGUCUGGGAAACUGCCUGAUGGCGGGGGAUAACUACUGGAAACGGUAGCUAAUACCGCAUACCAUCGGAUGUGCCCAGAUGGGAUUAGCUAGUAGGUGGGGUAACGGCUAACCUAGGCGACGAGCCCUAGCUGGUCUGAGAGGAUGACCAGCCAAAAUGGAACUGAGACACGGCCCAGACUCCGACGGGAGGCAGCAGUGGGGAAUAUUGCACAAUGGGCGCAAGCCUGAUGCAGCCAUGCCGCGUGUAUGAAGAAGGCCUUCGGGUUGUAAAGUACUUUCAGCGGGGAGGCGUUACCCGCAGAAGAAGCACCGGCUAACUCCGUGCCAGCCGCCGCGGUAAUAC
rnacentral:rRNA from 1 species